CUAUGGACGAAAGCAGAAUGGAUGCAACUUUUAGAGAAAAAGGAAGAGAAUACUUCAGUCUGACAAAUGAAAGGAAGAAGCGAAGUGUCAGAGAAUGAUAAUUUGCUUGCAGAGGCUAAUGUGUUCUGGAUGGCAAAAUUUGGGCCACAAAAUGCUAAUUCCUAACCUAACACCAUGACAGCAAUC
rnacentral:lncRNA from 1 species